rnacentral:rRNA from 1 species
AACGUAGGGGGCCAGCGUUGCUCGGAAUUACUGGGCGUAAAGGGUCCGUAGGCGGUGUGGCAAGUCGGAAGUGAAAUCUCUGGGCUUAACUCAGAGGCUGCUUCCGAAACUGCUGUGCUAGAGGAUGAGAGAGGCGAGUGGAAUUGCGGGUGUAGCGGUGAAAUGCGUAGAGAUCGGGAGGAACACCAGAGGCGAAGGCGGCGACCUGGACAGGCACUGACACUCAACUACGAAAGCGUGGGGAGCAAACAGG